GACGAACGCUGGCGGCGUGCCUAAUACAUGCAAGUAGAACGCUGAAGGAGGAGCUUGCUUCUCUGGAUGAGUUGCGAACGGGUGAGUAACGCGUAGGUAACCUGCCUGGUAGCGGGGGAUAACUAUUGGAAACGAUAGCUAAUACCGCAUAAGAGUAGAUGUUGCAUGACAUUUACUUAAAAGGUGCAAUUGCAUCACUACCAGAUGGACCUGCGUUGUAUUAGCUAGUUGGUGAGGUAACGGCUCACCAAGGCAACGAUACAUAGCCGACCUGAGAGGGUGAUCGGCCACACUGGGACUGGGACACGGCCCAGACUCCUACGGGAGGCAGCAGUAGGGAAUCUUCGGCAAUGGACGGAAGUCUGACCGAGCAACGCCGCGUGAGUGAAGAAGGUUUUCGGAUCGUAAAGCUCUGUUGUAAGAGAAGAACGAGUGUGAGAGUGGAAAGUUCACACUGUGACGGUAUCUUACCAGAAAGGGACGGCUAACUACGUG
rnacentral:rRNA from 1 species